GCCGCACCUUGCCUUUGGCCUGCCUGCCUGGGUGCUGCAGGGGCCCGUUUCCCUGUUUCCCCUUAGUCAGUGUGGGAGAUAACGUGGGCAUUGUCUCAGCGCAGGGUUCUGCAUUUAAUAAUCUCACCCGCUCAACUGUUUUUAUCUGAAUCUCCCUCCUGAACUGAUAAAUCUAAAUUGCACAUUUUCUAAACCGCUUAGCUUAGGGGUAAAUCUUGCAGGUAUCCUCAAAUGACUAGCUGUGCCUUUUGCACCUUUCUAGCACCAUCUACUGUAGCUUUAUUACACUGUCUGCAGGCUUACGAUUCCUGCAGGAGCUGCCUUCAUCCCGAGGAGCUGAUGGAAGAACGUGGGCUCAGUUUGGCUUGGAAAGACCCAGGGCUGGGAACAAUGGUGGAACAAAUCCAACACACACCUGUCCCAUAGUUCACCUUCCCUCAUGUUCAACCAGUGACGCAAUUCUCAGUGCCUGUCUUGCUGCUUGAUACAUUUUGCACUUGGUGAGAUGGAGCAGAAAAGAUGCGUGCCAGAUUUUACUGAAGCUUUCUGUGCUAGUUGAUGGAACAAGAACUUGGGAUCUGGCAGGACAAGGGGUGGGAGCAGAGCUUUGUCUGGGGGGAAGAGGGGCCGCACAAGAACGAAUCUUCCAGUUGCUGCCAGAGGAUGCGGAGGGCCUGACAUCAGCUUGGAUUUCUACCGCCUAUUGGGGAGCUAUGGGAUGGGAUUAGCAGCAGCGAGUUUCGUAUUCUCUCGUUAAAUUCAGUACUGAAAGGAAAGCUGCUCUUGAAGGAUCUCUUACUUUUUUCCUGGCCGUUCGGAGCUGACGUGGAGAUGCUGUGUGUCCUUAUUGUACGCACGCCUGUUAAAAUGUGGUCUUGGCUGGGGCAUGUUUUAUGGUAAAAGAUGGUUAUUACAACCAGAAAUAGAACCAGAGCUCUCUGACUGCAAUCACUAUUAUGGAUCUGUGUGAUUAACACCUUGUUGUUAAAAGCACCUAAAGCUGCAAGUCAAAAUCAGAACUAAACUGUGCUAAGCGUUACAUAAGGCAUAUUUUUCUCUUUAUAGAUCUGUUGAUAUGAAUAUUUCUGGAGGUGACAGAUUAUAGUUCCAGGGAUAUAAAAUACAGAACAAGACCAAACUGUGGUUUUGGAGGGCACGCAUACAGAGUUCAGCGGUCUACGGCACAAAAAGUGAUGUCUGCAAUACCUAGGCAUUCGGCUUCCCACAGCAUCGAGGGAAGUCCCGGAAUACCUACCUAUCAGAGGCCAGGUUAUUUACUUCCUCAAGUACCAGACUUCAACCACAGGAGCAGUGCAAGGCAAGGCAGAAGAUCAUCUUCUCCCACACGGAUUUCCCCAUCAAGGUCAGAAUUUGUCCUUACUAAAUGCGCUCCUAGGAUGAAGGGAGGGAACCCACGAACACAUAGCAUCCAGCAUGACUUGUUUUCCAUCUGGCAGAUCAACCAGCAGAAACCAGUCUGGGACCAGGUUCAGGGGACUGCCCUUCGCUUGCAGUCGGUUUCAGAGCUGCCUCAGUGAUGGGCUAAUGAGGUUCACCCACUGCCAGGCACCUCCCUGCGACUGAGAGCCACUGUACUGCAAAGCAAAGAGAACAACUUUGAUACUCUCUGGAGGUGAGACGGCAAGUGCAGCUGCGAGGCUCAAAAAGAAAGCACCAGAAAGCAGAGUACGAGCUACUGCUUGUCAUUUAGCAGAGGCAAACGUGAGCACAACCAAAACAACAGAGUGAUCACAACAGCGUUAUCCGAUUAGCAGCACCUGCAACCAACAGAAACAGAUCUUCAAAUGGAGCUGUCAGCCGCCGUUGCAACACGAAGUGUGCUAUAACACACUGAGUGGGAAUAAGGAGCAGUGGUGUAAGAGGUGCAAUUGCAAGAGCACUGAAGGGACACUUGGCAGCGCUUGCGUGCCUGAAAUUAGAUCUGCCCAUCUCGUGCAUGGGUGCGUGGGGGGUGCCAGGUGGGAUUACAAUGAGGCUCUGCUUUCCUGUAAGGCAAAAAAUGUAUUCAAGUUCAGCCAAGAUAUAUGGGUUUAUAUACAAUGAUAUUAUUACUGUUGUUAUUGUGAUACAUGGCAUAAUAACUGCCUUUUACACACAUACCCAGACACGUGUAC
rnacentral:lncRNA from 1 species